GAUCCCGUAGUGUAGUUGGCCUAGCACGUAGGAUUUUGAUGUUUUCUCAUUCCUGAUUAUUCCUGAGUCCCCGGUUCGAGUCCGGGCGGGAUCU